rnacentral:rRNA from 1 species
CCUACGGGUGGCAGCAGUGAGGAAUAUUGGUCAAUGGCCGGAAGGCUGAACCAGCCAUGCCGCGUGAAGGUCAGUGCCCUAUGGGCGUUAAACUUCUUUUGUGCGGGAGCAAUAAUGGUAACGUGUGGCCAGACGAGAGUACCGUACGAAUAAGCAUCGGCUAACCCCGUGCCAGCCGCCGCGGUCAUACGGGGGAUGCAAGCGUUAUCCGGACUGAUUGGGUUUAAAGGGUGCGUAGGCGGUGAGGUAAGUCAGCGGGUAAAUGCCCCGGCUCAACGGGGUGAAGUGCCAUUGAUACUGCCUGGCUGGAAUGCGGAUGCCGUGGGAGGAAUGUGUGGUGUAGCGGUGAAAUGCAUAGAUAUCACACAGAACACCGAUUGCGAAGGCAUCUCCCGAAUCCGCGAUUGACGCUGAUGCACGAAAGCGUGGGUAUCAAACAGGAUUAGAUACCCCUGUAGUC